rnacentral:rRNA from 1 species
GACGAACGCUGGCGGCGUGCCUAAUACAUGCAAGUCGAACGCAGAGGGGACGGGUGAGUGACACGUGGGUAACCUCCCAUCAGAGGGGAUACCACUGUGAAACAGGUGCUAAACCGAUACUGAUGGAUGGACCAGCGGUGCAUUAGCUAGUUGGUGAGGUAACGGCUAACCAAGGACACGAUGCAUAGCCGACCGGAGAGGGUGAUCGGCCACACUGGGACUGAGACACGGCCCAGACUCCUACGGGAGGCAGCAGUAGGGAAUCUUCGGCAAUGGACGAAAGUCUGACCGAGCAACGCCGCGUGAGUGAAGAAGGUUUUCGGAUCGUAAAACUCUGUUGUUAGAGAAGCGGUAUCUAACCAGAAAGCCACGGCUAACUACGUGCCAGCAGCCGCGGUAAUUC